rnacentral:rRNA from 1 species
GGUUGAUCCUGCCGGACCUGACUGCUAUCGGAUUGAUACUAAGCCAUGCGAGUCAUUGUAGCAAUACAAGGCAGACGGCUCAGUAACGCGUAGUCAACCUACCCUAUGGACGGGAAUAACCUCGGGAAACUGAGUAUAAUGCCCGAUAGAACAUUAUGCCUGGAAUUGGUUUAUGUUCCAAAUGAUUUAUCGCCGUAGGAUGGGACUGCGGCCUAUCAGUUUGUUGGUGAGGUAAUGGCCCACCAAGACUAUUACAGGUACGGGCUCUGAGAGGAGUAGCCCGGAGAUGGGUACUGAGACACGGACCCAGGCCCUAUGGGGCGCAGCAGGCGAGAAAACUUUGCAAUGUGCGAAAGCACGACAAGGUUAAUCCGAGUGGUUUCUGCUAAAGGAACCUUUUGUUAGUCCUAGAAACACUAACGAAUAAGGGGUGGGCAAGUUCUGGUGUCAGCCGCCGCGGUAAAACCAGCACCUCAAGUGGUCAGGAUGAUUAUUGGGCCUAAAGCAUCCGUAGCCUGCUCUGUAAGUUUUCGGUUAAAUCUGUACGCUCAACGUACAGGCUGUCGGGAAUACUGCAGAGCUAGGGAGUGGGAGAGGUAGACGGUACUCGGGAGGAAGUGGUAAAAUGCUUUGAUCUCUCGAUGACCACCUGUGGCGAAGGCGGUCUACCAGAACACGUCCGACGGUGAGGGAUGAAAGCUGGGGGAGCAAACCGGAUUAGAUACCCGGGUAGUCCCAGCCGUAAACUAUGCAAACUCAGUGAUGCAUUGGCUUGUGGCCAAUGCAGUG